CAGAUGAGAACAGUAAUUUAUGGGGCUCCCCGGUAGCUUACCUGGUUGAGCGUGUGCCACGUAUUCUAAGGCCCAGUUCUUACAGCAGUGUCCCAUUUUUUGCGUUUGACCCAAAUCAUAAAAAAGAACAGUAAUUAUCUGCUUUAAGGCAUUGUAGCUUUUUAGUGACACAUGCUGUCUAUUUGGAUAGUUGACAAAGUCAGGUUAAUGCAAAACUCCUGUGUGUCACUACUCUCUCUGUUCAAGAGGUCUUCCUGUAGCCUCCUUGUGCAUAUUGUCUCACAUUAAACAUUAACUAGUCUCUGGGAGGGUGCUCUCCUAGCGCUCUAAAUCAUUCAGAUGAGAACUGCACGCCAUGCUGGAAGAACACCCAAGGACAAGGAGCUAAUGCUGUACUUCCACUCAACAUAAAUGUUAGUAGUACUAAUGCAAAAUGUCUGUGUACCAUACACAUAGACAGCCCACGUGCAUAAUGUUUACAUGCACACGCUGUAUGUUAAUGGUGCAUAUGCAGGUUGUGUCUGAGGUGAAAUAGUUUUGGGUGUCUCCCUCUCACAGACAGAACUCAAUGACAAUAGCAUGUUGAAUUGUUAGUCAUUGGCAAGUGCAUUUCUGUAUAUACUCACUUGUGUAAUUUCUUAAUGGCUUUCUUUAACACAUGACUCCUGUCCUGUUAGCAUGGAGUCGUUCCAUAUUG